GAACGGUAGCACAGAGAGCUUGCUCUCGGGUGACGAGUGGCGGACGGGUGAGUAAUGUCUGGGAAACUGCCCGAUGGAGGGGGAUAACUACUGGAAACGGUAGCUAAUACCGCAUAACGUCUUCGGACCAAAGUGGGGGACCUUCGGGCCUCACACCAUCGGAUGUGCCCAGAUGGGAUUAGCUAGUAGGUGGGGUAAUGGCUCACCUAGGCGACGAUCCCUAGCUGGUCUGAGAGGAUGACCAGCCGCACUGGAACUGAGACACGGUCCAGACUCCUACGGGAGGCAGCAGUGGGGAAUAUUGCACAAUGGGCGCAAGCCUGAUGCAGCCAUGCCGCGUGUAUGAAGAAGGCCUUCGGGUUGUAAAGUACUUUCAGCGGGGAGGAAGGCGGUGAAGUUAAUAACUUCAUCGAUUGACGUUACCCGCAGAAGAAGCACCGGCUAACUCCGUG
rnacentral:rRNA from 1 species